rfam:Glossina fuscipes fuscipes unplaced genomic scaffold Scaffold130, whole genome shotgun sequence.
GCAGUCGUGGCCGAGCGGUUUAGGUGUCUGACUUGAAAUCAGAUUCCCUCUGGGAGUGUGGAUUCGAAUCCUAGCGACUGAA